AACAGGAUUAGAUACCCUGGUAGUCCACGCCGUAAACGAUGUCGACCAGCCGUUGGGUGCCUAGCGCACUUUGUGGCGAAGUUAACGCGAUAAGUCGACCGCCUGGGGAGUACGGCCGCAAGGUUAAAACUCAAAUGAAUUGACGGGGGCCCGCACAAGCGGUGGAGCAUGUGGUUUAAUUCGAUGCAACGCGAAGAACCUUACCUACUCUUGACAUCCUGCGAAUUUGGUAGAGAUACCUUAGUGCCUUCGGGAACGCAGAGACAGGUGCUGCAUGGCUGUCGUCAGCUCGUGUUGUGAAAUGUUGGGUUAAGUCCCGUAACGAGCGCAACCCUUGUCCUUAUUUGCCAGCGCGUAAUGGCGGGAACUCUAAGGAGACUGCCGGUGACAAACCGGAGGAAGGUGGGGACGACGUCAAGUCAUCAUGGCCCUUACGAGUAGGGCUACACACGUGCUACAAUGGUCGGUACAAAGGGUUGCCAACUCGCGAGAGUGAGCCAAUCCCGAAAAGCCGAUCUCAGUCCGGAUCGGAGUCUGCAACUCGACUCCGUGAAGUCGGAAUCGCUAGUAAUCGUGGAUCAGAAUGCCACGGUGAAUACGUUCCCGGGCCUUGUACACACCGCCCGUCACACCAUGGGAGUGGACUGCACCAGAAGUGGUUAGCCUAACGCAAGAGGGCGAUCACCACGGUGUGGUUCAUGACUGGGGGUGAAGUCGUAACAAGGUAACC
rnacentral:rRNA from 1 species